rnacentral:rRNA from 1 species
AUUGAACGCUGGCGGAAUGCUUUACACAUGCAAGUCGGGCAGCAGCGCGGGGGCAACCCUGGCGGCGAGCGGCGAACGGGUGAGUAAUACAUCGGAACAUGUCCAGUCGUGGGGGAUAACCUGGCGAAAGCCAGGCUAAUACCGCAUGCGCUCGGGAGAGGAAAGCGGGGGACCGUAAGGCGUCGCGCGAUUGGGUCGGCCGAUGUCCGAUUAGCUAGUUGGUGGGGUAAAGGCCUACCAAGGCGAUGAUCGGUAGCUGGUCUGAGAGGAUGAUCAGCCACACUGGGACUGAGACACGGCCCAGACUCCGACGGGAGGCAGCAGUGGGGAAUUUUGGACAAUGGGGGAAACCCUGAUCCAGCCAUUCCGCGUGAGUGAAGAAGGCCUUCGGGUUGUAAAGCUCUUUUGUCCGGAGCGAAACGGGUAACGUGAAUAUCGUUGCCUACUGACGGUACCGGAAGAAUAAGCACCGGCUAACUACGUGCCAGCCGCCGCGGUAA